CAGUGAACAUCUUUUCCAUCUGAAAAUUUGGUUUAGUCAAAACUGCCAUUUUCGGCAGGGAAAAAGUUGAUGCCAAGAAAAAUGUUCAGUUUUCUGAAGCAGGUGUUCAAAGCCAAACCCCCAACGUUGCAUUUCGAACGGUCUUUCCCCUCCUCCCGUUGGAGUCCACCGUAAUUGGCAAGGUCGUUGUGGAAACCGAUCAGCAUUUCGACACCUCGUGUUUCAGAGGGGGCGAAAAUGUCGAAAUGUUUAAUGUCCUGAUUGAGAUCUUUUGCAACUUUUCAUGCCACAAUUUUUUUUUUGUUCUUGAAAAACUUCUACUUCACAUCCCGAUCCGGGACAAAAGCAGAUGUCGAAAUGGCCCUGUGCAAGGGAAACGUUGUUCCUGACUAACUCUCUUGGGUUCAGGCAGAUCACUCACCUCCGGGCUGUAAGAGCAGAAGAAGCAAAAGAAAAGAAGGUCGAAGAGGAGCCCCCUCCAUCCUGACAGCGUGGGGCAGCGGGCGUCGGAGAUCCUCACCAAACGGAGCCGGAGCCUGGAGCGGUUCGGACGGGGACGUCUGGCUGGCAGGACGAGCCUGGCUACCCUCUGUGGCUGAGGAUGGACUGCAAAGAAACGAAUCGCCCUGCGGCUCUGCAAUUUCUCCACCGGGAGAUGGGAUUUGGCAAGACCAGACCCCACUGGCUGUGAUGUGACUCAGCUCUUGGGGAAUUAGAAACUAUUAUCUGACAGCAGCACUGUGCCUCUGUUAUCUGCAAAAAGCCAAGAGUUUUCAGGUGCCCAAGUAGCCUCUGAAAGGUGCCCACCACCACCCCACCGAAAUCUGAAAUGGCACCGCUGUCUGUGCCACCAUUUCCUGCCCUGGAAUUCAGACAGAUCACUCACCGCCGGGCUGUGAAACCAGCAGGAGCAAGAGAAGGGAAGGCCGCAGAGCCCCCUCCAUCCUGGCAGCGAGGGGCAGGCAGAGCGGGCGGCCGUCAGUCCGUAUAACGGGUGUCCUGACCGAACAGAGCCGGAGCGGGUUAGACGGCAGAGUCUGGCUGAGUGGCCGAUCCCUGAUGGUGCCGAGGGGCUGCAGAGAAAUGACCCGCCCCACAGCUCUGCAACUUCCCCCACGAGACGCUCUUUCCUUUGUGGUAAGUGGCGCAAUGAGCUCAAAGCAGCCCAGGGUGCUGGGCUGGGGAAGGCUCCUCUGAUUGCUCAGGGCUGAAAGGGUCUGAACCAGACACGGCUCCUGCGAUACUGGAGGGUUCUGUCUAUUGCACCGGAGAGCCUGUCACGCUAGGAAUUCUGUUACCCGGGGCCCCUUGACACGGCUCUGGCAAUGGAAAGGGCCUUCGACAGGGCACCCAGUACAUUGACACCCACUGUCAGGGGCCUUUGCACAGCCAGGGGGGUAUGCCGGGGGCUUGGCGUGAA